UACGUAGGGUGCAAGCGUUGUCCGGAAUUAUUGGGCGUAAAGAGCUUGUAGGCGGUUUGUCGCGUCUGCUGUGAAAUUUCGGGGCUCAACCCCGAACUUGCAGUGGGUACGGGCAGACUAGAGUGCGGAAGGGGCAACUGGAAUUCCUGGUGUAGCGGUGAAAUGCGCAGAUAUCAGGAGGAACACCGGUGGCGAAGGCGGAUCUCUGGGCCUUACCUGACGCUCAGGCGCGAAAGCUAGGGGAGCGAACAGG
rnacentral:rRNA from 1 species